GUGGGGAAUAUUGGACAAUGGGCGCAAGCCUGAUCCAGCCAUGCCGCGUGAGUGAUGAAGGCCUUAGGGUUGUAAAGCUCUUUCACCGAUGAAGAUAAUGACGGUAGUCGGAGAAGAAGCCCCGGCUAACUUCGUGCCAGCAGCCGCGGUAAUACGAAGGGGGCUAGCGUUGUUCGGAUUUACUGGGCGUAAAGCGCACGUAGGCGGUUUGUUAAGUCAGGGGUGAAAUCCCGGAGCUCAACUCCGGAACUGCCUUUGAUACUGGCAAGCUAGAGUCCGGAAGAGGUAAGUGGAACUCCUAGUGUAGAGGUGGAAUUCGUAGAUAUUAGGAAGAACACCAGUGGCGAAGGCGGCUUACUGGUCCGGAACUGACGCUGAGGUGCGAAAGCGUGGGGAGCAAACAGGAUUAGAAACCCCAGUAGUCC
rnacentral:rRNA from 1 species